rnacentral:lncRNA from 1 species
CCUUGGAAAGGCCCCUCUUCCCRUCGCACGAGGAGAGGGCACGGAAGGACACAGCUUCCACCAGGCUGGCAUAUCCUGUCGUUGUUGGACGGGAUAGCAGACUUUAUGUGCAGAAUGGAUGUGGAAGGACAGAUAGCCAGAAGGCCAGCGCGAUACUGAGGUAGCGAAGGGAAGGGGCACUUUGAAGGAUAAAAACCCUUUGCCUUGAGCGGAAGCGCAGGCUGCCGGGGAGGCUGGCRCCGGGGACGGGAACCUCCGGUCCGGGCUCUGCUGCAGCUGUGCUGGGUGACCUUGUGUUCUCCCGUUUUCCUCGAGUCCGCCAGCUCUUGACAGCUCGAAUCAAACGUCUGCCCAAACCUAGAUGGCCCGAUAAACUGGCGUGGCCGAGGCGCAGCCCAGAGCGGCGGGAGCGGUGCGGUGAGCAUCGCGGCUCGGAUCCGCCGGCCUCAUUCCCGAGGUCCCAC